UACAGAGGUCCCAAGCGUUGUUCGGAUUCACUGGGCGUAAAGGGUGCGUAGGUGGUGAGGUAAGUCGGAUGUGAAAGCUCGGAGCUCAACUCCGAAAUGGCAUUGGAAACUACCUUGCUCGAGGGUUGGAGGGGGGACUGGAAUUCUUGGUGUAGCGGUGAAAUGCGUAGAUAUCAAGAGGAACACCUGCGGCGAAGGCGGGUUGCUGGGCCGACACUGACGCUGAGGCGCGAAAGCUAGGGGAGCGAACGGG
rnacentral:rRNA from 1 species